rnacentral:lncRNA from 1 species
UACUUUUCUUCUUUGUGGUUGCCUCCUUCUAAUCUACCACUAUAAUAUCUUAGCUAUCUACACAAGUACUAAGCCAUUGAUUUUGCAAGGCUGACCAACACUAUAUAUCUUGAGGGAAUUUCUUCUAAGGAUACUCAAGGCCACUGUAAUCCCGAGCUACGUCAGUGUUGUACCACCCACACGACUUGGACAAAAGGACUAUGGACACUCCUGCAGAGCCUAGCCUACACUGCAACUGCACACAGAGAUUGUAUUACACACAAAAAAACACACAGAACUGAAAAUGUUGUCAAAAAGCCUUCUCACAACUUCCUUGACCGAUCCCUCGAGCAACACGUCUAUGGAUUAUGCUGCACAAAUUUGAUGUUGAUCGGAAGUCCAGACAAUUGAUGUCACUGGUUGCCUUUGAUUAGCCGCGGCACGAGCCUUUGCAGUGCUUCUACGCCUGAAUGAGAGUUGACAUGCUAUGUCAACUAUAAUCCCAAUCUAAGCACAUAAUGCCAUGCUACUUCCUCCCAGAACGAGUCACUUAAGAAGAAAAAAAAUGAGCGCAGACAAUUCUUCCGCAAGUGAGUGCAGACACAAUAUUAAAGUAAGCCGAUAAUAAAGAGGAUUGUUGUGUUGCAGUACUUUAUCUCCAAGUCAACCACCUCCACUUUCUCUGCAGGUGAGAAAUAAAGUCUACAACAAUUUGUCUUCUCCCCAACAAAAUCAACCACCGCACAGCAACGUGAAAGGAAAAGGAAUACAUGAACUGCACAGCUCCACUACCUGGCCGAAUCUUGCCACCCACUACAAUUCACAUGGCUGAUUGACUCUAUCAAACCACAACGACAAGUUCAAGAAGAAGAAUGGAACCAACGGCAAAGGAAAAUUGUGUCGAACUUGCAAUGCGACGCCCACCCCACCAGCUUAGAAAUUAGCAUUCUAAUCAUUGCUCUACUGCAGCCAAUCAUCGCUGCCCUGGCGGAAUGAAUUGCGCCAACGGCCACUGGCCAAUAAUGCAAGGGAAAUAGAAGAAAUUGCGACUUUGUUAUUAGCCAAAGCAUUGAAGGGAAAACCAAAACAGAAACAAGGCGAGCAACGCCGCCUACAACCCAAGCACCAUCGCAACAACUCCACUCACCGAGCCUUUGGACACAACUCCGAAAAUUGCGAAGCGCUGCGACGUAGCCUAGAAAAAACUAAACAUGAAGAAG